AUAAACAUAUUAAUGCUUUGAAAAAAAGUUAGAAGCUUUUAUUUGAAUAUUUCUUU
rnacentral:tRNA from 2 species